ACUAUUUUAAGGUUAUGCUUAAACCCGUUCCCAUCACAUAGGGACAUCUGUCACUUCCCUCAAUACUGAAGUCAUGUUCUUCUGCUCCCGUUCGGACUGUAGAAUUUGUUUCUGUGUCGUUCUUUCCAGGGUCUGAUUUCCUUAGCUUCUCCUGGCUGUAGUCGUUCUCUGCUGGGAAAGGAAGGGAACUGUUUUCGGGCCGGACCACCUAAGCCUCUGGUGAAACCGAGAAAGGCCGUCUAUGUAAACAUCUCAAAAACAAAGAUCUUGAGUAAACGUGGAGAGACAAAUUCGUUUCUCCUGAUCUCCCUAAACAGAAGCGACUACACUCAUUAUCAAAUGAAGCUCACACCCAAUCCAGGAUUCCUGGAAGAGAGGCCAGAGACCCCACGGGAGCCAUGCGGCCGAGGAUAAGGUGUGGUUGUGGGUCAAGUCUCUGAGGAAGCUGUUCAUUCAAACGUCCACAAAGAUUUAAGACUGGUGAUUCGCGGCAACUCGUCCAUGUUAGAGAAAACAGUCUUUCAUGCUGGGAGCUUAAGAACUUCUUGCUACAUAGACUCAGUACGUCACAAUAUCAAGAAAAUGCUCACAUUUCCGGGCAGGUGACACAUGGCAACUGACUCCCAAGGCAAGGAAGACAUUGAAAAGAAAAUUCUGGCCGGGCAGUAGUGAUGGACAUCUUUAAUCCCAGCACUUGGGAGCCAGAGGCAGAGCUGUAUAACAACAACUGACAUUUGUACAACACCUUCCAUCUGUGGGAACUGAAGAGUCAUAGACAGGAUCCUGGGGUCACUUCAUCUAUCAAAUGCCACAGUCUUGUAGAGCACAGUGGUGACCCUUCUCUGCAGGACAAGUUCCUAGCAUACUCACCUGCCGGCUCUGAAGCCAACUGACCAUGUUCUACCCUCAGGGGUACAAACUGCAAGCCCCAAAGACUUAGAGUGUGUGUUGGGCAGCAUGCUAACAGCCGCCUCUGCAUCCCGGGACGAUCCUCCAGCGUCGGCCUGGGUGAGACUGUGCAGGAGGACCAGCUGAGGAAGGAAGUGACAGAGGAGAAUUCAGAAAGCUUAGAUGAGGGUCAACAGACGGUAAAGAAGACAAAUGCUGCCGCAAACAACCUACCAUGCCGUUUCUAGAUCAGAGAGAAGUGGGAAGUGAGCCGCCUGACCUUAUGGAUUAAAAUUAUCUAUAGAUAGAUUGAUCUGUUUAACCCGUUGUCACCAAGCACAUGAAGUGUUACAUCAGGAACCCUUCAUUCUCAGAUCAGAUUAAAAGAUACUAUUCACCACGCACUUUUUAAGUAUCUGCUAUGGACAAAGUACCAAGGUGUAGCUCAGUAGUAAAAUGAUAGAAUGGCAAGAUAACAGCUUUGUCUUUUAAGCAAGGAGUUCAAGCAGAUGCACGGUGUA